GCCCCCGCCUUAGGCCGCCCGGCGGCCUCGCCUCACUCCCGCCCCAACCCGUCGCCGGCCGGCCGCCCGGACUCACCGUCCCGGGCCGUGCCCAUGAGCUGGUCCAGCAGGGCCCGCAUCUGCGCCUGGGCGGACAUGAUGGCCGGGGCGAGGGCGGCAGGGACGGCCGCGACGGCUCCUCUCGGCGCGGCGGCAGCGACGAAGAUUUUAUUUAUUUAUUCAUCAGACACACAGAGAGAGAGGCAGAGACACAGGCAGAGGGAGAAGCAGGCUCCACGCAGGGAGCCCAACGUGGGACUCGAUUCCAGAACCCCAGGAUCACGGCCUGGGUCAAAGGCAGAAGCUCAACCGCUGAGCCGCCCAGGCGUCCCCCACCCCUGAUCCUGUUCUUGGGCCCAAGACCUAGAUGUUCUACUGGGACUAAACUGAAAUAGGAAAAAAAAAUAAUAAAUAAAUAAAUAAAAUAAACCGAAAUAGGAUAAGAUACA